rnacentral:rRNA from 1 species
UACGUAGGGUGCAAGCGUUAAUCGGAAUUACUGGGCGUAAAGCGCGCGUAGGCGGCUUUUGCAAGUCGGGUGUGAAAUCCCCCGGGCUUAACCUGGGAACUGCGUUUGAAACUGGGAGCUAGAGUGCGGCAGAGGGGGGGUGGAAUUCCACGUGUAGCAGUGAAAUGCGUAGAUAUGUGGAGGAACACCGAUGGCGAAGGCAGCCCCCCUGGGCCUGCACUGACGCUCAUGCACGAAAGCGUGGGGAGCAAACAGG